rnacentral:rRNA from 1 species
UCGACGGCAGCACGGGAGCAAUCCUGGUGGCGAGUGGCGAACGGGUGAGUAAUGUAUCGGAACGUACCUUUCAGUGGGGGAUAACGUAGCGAAAGUUACGCUAAUACCGCAUAUUCUGUGAGCAGGAAAGCAGGGGAUCGCAAGACCUUGCGCUGAUUGAGCGGCCGAUAUCAGAUUAGCUAGUUGGUGAGGUAAAGGCUCACCAAGGCGACGAUCUGUAGCGGGUCUGAGAGGAUGAUCCGCCACACUGGAACUGAGACACGGUCCAGACUCCUACGGGAGGCAGCAGUGGGGAAUUUUGGACAAUGGGGGCAACCCUGAUCCAGCCAUGCCGCGUGAGUGAAGAAGGCCUUCGGGUUGUAAAGCUCUUUCAGCCGGGAAGAAAUCACAUGGGUUAAUACCCUGUGUGGAUGACGGUACCGGAAUAAGAAGCACCGGCUAACUACGUGCCAGCAGCCGCGGUAAUACGUAGGGUGCGAGCGUUAAUCGGAAUUACUGGGCGUAAAGCGUGCGCAGGCGGUUUGUUAAGAUAGGCGUGAAAUCCCCGGGCUCAACCUGGGAACUGCGUUUAUGACUGGCAGGCUAGAGUAUGGCAGAGGGGGGUGGAAUUCCACGUGUAGCAGUGAAAUGCGUAGAGAUGUGGAGGAACACCGAUGGCGAAGGCAGCCCCCUGGGCCAAUACUGACGCUCAUGCACGAAAGCGUGGGUAGCAA